AUGUUCCCCUCUGAGAACCGGAACACCCUUUCUGCUGUCGUAAGUGUCCUUAGCAACCCCGGCCAGGGCCUCCGUCUCAGAGAGAGCGGGCUCACUGGUCUGCGGGAGCCAAGGGAGGCCCCAGUGGCCCAGGGAAGAGGUCGCCAUGGCGUCUGUGUCCUACCGGGAGCCGCUGUCUAUGACCGUGGGGAAACGAAUGGUUGUCACAGCAUCCGAGUUGGAUCUCUCGUGAGUGUUUUGGUCACUUCCGGCACAUCAGCUGGCACUGUGGCAGAAAGCAACGCAGCCUGAAUACGCGUACUGAGUUUUGGGGAAAUCUCACAGAGCUGAUCCUUAAAGCCCUGGCUCAGCAUUUCAUCAGCUUCAUCCAAAACAAACACUUGGAUGCAUUUUGGAGAAAGAUACCGCCUGUCUGAACACGCUCCGUGGGUACCAAGGAGGGUAUGCGGUGCCUCAGCCUGCAGCGUUUGCAUUUCAUUUCGGACAUUUGCUCCCCCGCUGCAGGCAUGGAGAGUUGCUCCCGUGUAAUCUCCAAGGGCCAGAAUUACCUUUCGGAUCUUUGCUACAAGUAGUAAUACCUCUGUGCUGAAUAGCUGAAGGCUUCUCAAAACUAUAAGCAUAGACGUGCUGAAGAAGAGAUUCCUUUAAAUUCACAUCAUCAAAGUUACCAACCAUCGCAUUCCAGUUGCUCUCAAUGACCCCAUGGGGCCCACUCCCCCCGGGACCUCGGUUCUCUGUCAUAACCCACAGAACCACCAGACACGGUCCAAAGAACCACUCAGCGCCUGACUGAAAAGCUGAAAAUACACGCUUUCAUUCAGAAUUUUCACAAAACUCUCCCUCGGUCCAAAUGAGAAUAAAUAUCAGACACUUAAAAACCACAGAGGUGGGCAUGGUGCACAUGUUUUUAGUCUCAGCUACUUAAGAGGCUGAGGCAGGAAGAUCAUUCAAGCCCAGGAAUUCAGAGCCAAUCUGGGCAACAUAGUAAGACGCUGCCUCUAUAAGUAAAUCACAGCACAACAACCGAUGCUCUAAUUUAACCUGCCUUUUCCCAGAUGGGAUUACUCAUGGUUCAGAGCUCUAAGACUCAGUCUGCAUCAGGAGUGGACGCCUUCUGCCGGGCGCUUGUUCCUAGAGAUCUGUAUGUGCACUGUGUACAGACGACUGGCUUAAUAAAAUGUUGGCAUAUUUGGCCAUUCAUCAUACAAGUACGUCCUAGAAAAUUAUUUCCUCUACACCAGGAAUUGGAGUGCACUCAUCUUACAAAGGCACGGUCAGAGUUGGUGGGAAUGUAAACUAGUUCAACCACUAUGGAAGUCAGUAUGGAGAUUCCUCAAAAAGUUAAAACUAGAAAUUCCGUUUGACCCAAGUAUUUCCCCUUCUAGGUGUCUUCCUGAGAGAGUUAAAAGACAUCAUAUUAUAGUGACACAUGCAUAC
rnacentral:lncRNA from 1 species